CUGCCGAUGAGGAAAUCAUUUACCAAGUUAACCAUCUUUCGGGACUGAAUGGCUUCUAAAAAAAGCCUUGCUGUUAUUCUGCAAUUCUGAGGCAC
rfam:Ricinus communis cultivar Hale ctg_1100012357320, whole genome shotgun sequence.